GUACUCAUUCUGGCAGCACACUUACUAAAAUUGGAAUAAUAGCAGAUCACCAAGGCCCAGCAGCAGGGAUGACUUGAAGAUCUAAGAAGUGUUCCAUACUUUU
ensembl:snRNA U6 U6 spliceosomal RNA